CAGCAGUCGCCACGGUAAUACGAGGGGGGCAAGCGUUGUUCGGAAUUAUUGGGCGUAAAGGGUGCGUAGGCGGCUUGAUAAGUCUUAUGUGAAAUCUAUGGGCUCAACCCAUAGUCUGCAUAGGAAACUGUCGGGCUUGAGAGUGGGAGAGGUGAGUGGAAUUUCCGGUGUAGCGGUGAAAUGCGUAGAUAUCGGAAGGAACACCUGUGGCGAAAGCGGCUCACUGGACCAUUUCUGACGCUGAUGCACGAAAGCUAGGGGAGCAAACAGGAUUAGAUACCCCGGUAGUCCCUGUCUCUUAUAC
rnacentral:rRNA from 1 species